rnacentral:snoRNA from 1 species
AAGGAUCUAUCGAAGCUUGUGCAUUGAUAUUAUCUUUGCAGAAGUCAAAACAAUCCAAAAGAAAAUUCAGUGAUUCGGGUGGCACUUUUAUUUUUCAUAAAUAAUCGUGUCUAUCGAAUCUCUUACACUC